GUAAGUAACCUGCCCCCGGGAUGGGGACAACCCUGCUAACGCGGGGCUAAUACCGAAUAAAGCAGCGAGUUCGCAUGAACACGCUGUUAAAGGUGGGGCUCUUUUUAAGACCUACUACCUGGGGAUGGGCUUGCGGUCCAUUAGCUUGUUGGUGAGGUAACGGCUCACCAAGGCAUCGAUGGAUAGCCGGCCUGAGAGGGUGACCGGCCACACUGGGACUGAGAUACGGCCCAGACUCCUACGGGAGGCAGCAGUAAGGAAUAUUGCGCAAUGGCCUAACGGCUGACGCAGCAACGCCGCGUGACUGAUGAAGCAUUUCGGUGUGUAAAGGUCUGUUAGAAGGGAUGAAAACCACUGUCUAUAAUACAGGCAGUGCCUGACAUUACCUUCAGAGAAAGCUCCGGCUAACUCCGUGCCAGCAGCCGCGGUAAUACGGAGGGAGCAAGCGUUGUCCGGAAUCACUGGGCGUAAAGGGCAUGUAGGCGGAUUGUUAAGUCAGAAGUGAAAUCUACUCGCUUAACGAGUGAACUGCUUUUGAUACUGGCAGUCUUGAGUACUGGAGAGGUGAGCGGAAUUCCAGGUGUAGCGGUGAAAUGUGUAGAUAUCUGGAAGAACACCGGUGGCGAAGGCUGCUCUCUGGCCAGGUACUGACGCUGAAAUGCGAAAGCGUGGGGAGCGAACAGGAUUAGAUACCCUGGUAGUCCACGCCCUAAACGAUGGAUACUAGGUGUUGGAGGUGUCGACCCCUUCAGUGCCGCAGCUAACGCAUUAAGUAUCCCGCCUGGGGAGUACGAUCGC
rnacentral:rRNA from 1 species